rnacentral:rRNA from 1 species
UCGAACGAUGAUGCCCAGCUUGCUGGGCGGAUUAGUGGCGAACGGGUGAGUAAUACGUGAGUAACCUGCCCUUGACUCUGGGAUAAGCCUGGGAAACUGGGUCUAAUACUGGAUACUACCUCUUACCGCAUGGUGGGUGGUGGAAAGGGUUUUACUGGUUUUGGAUGGGCUCACGGCCUAUCAGCUUGUUGGUGGGGUAAUGGCUCACCAAGGCGACGACGGGUAGCCGGCCUGAGAGGGUGACCGGCCACACUGGGACUGAGACACGGCCCAGACUCCUACGGGAGGCAGCAGUGGGGAAUAUUGCACAAUGGGCGGAAGCCUGAUGCAGCGACGCCGCGUGAGGGAUGACGGCCUUCGGGUUGUAAACCUCUUUCAGUAGGGAAGAAGCGAGAGUGACGGUACCUGCAGAAGAAGCGCCGGCUAACUACGUGCCAGCAGCCGCGGUAAUACGUAGGGCGCAAGCGUUGUCCGGAAUUAUUGGGCGUAAAGAGCUCGUAGGCGGUUUGUCGCGUCUGCUGUGAAAGCCCGGGGCUCAACCCCGGGUCUGCAGUGGGUACGGGCAGACUAGAGUGCAGUAGGGGAGACUGGAAUUCCUGGUGUAGCGGUGAAAUGCGCAGAUAUCAGGAGGAACACCGAUGGCGAAGGCAGGUCUCUGGGCUGUUACUGACGCUGAGGAGCGAAAGCAUGGGGAGCGAACAGGAUUAGAUACCCUGGUAGUCCAUGCCGUAAACGUUGGGCACUAGGUGUGGGGGACAUUCCACGUUUUCCGCGCCGUAGCUAACGCAUUAAGUGCCCCGCCUGGGGAGUACGGCCGCAAGGCUAAAACUCAAAGGAAUUGACGGGGGCCCGCACAAGCGGCGGAGCAUGCGGAUUAAUUCGAUGCAACGCGAAGAACCUUACCAAGGCUUGACAUUCACCGGACCGCCCCAGAGAUGGGGUUUCCCUUCGGGGCUGGUGGACAGGUGGUGCAUGGUUGUCGUCAGCUCGUGUCGUGAGAUGUUGGGUUAAGUCCCGCAACGAGCGCAACCCUCGUUCUAUGUUGCCAGCACGUGAUGGUGGGGACUCAUAGGAGACUGCCGGGGUCAACUCGGAGGAAGGUGGGGAUGACGUCAAAUCAUCAUGCCCCUUAUGUCUUGGGCUUCACGCAUGCUACAAUGGCCGGUACAAAGGGUUGCGAUACUGUGAGGUGGAGCUAAUCCCAAAAAGCCGGUCUCAGUUCGGAUUGAGGUCUGCAACUCGACCUCAUGAAGUCGGAGUCGCUAGUAAUCGCAGAUCAGCAACGCUGCGGUGAAUACGUUCCCGGGCCUUGUACACACCGCCCGUCAAGUCACGAAAGUUGGUAACACCCGAAGCCGGUGGCCUAACCCCUUGUGGGAGGGAG